AUUCCAUCUGUCUUAGUUUCGAAAAUUUGUCUUGGAAUCUACUUAUGAGUUCUUAUUGGCUUGCACUUUAGUAUUUCAAUCCUGAGCCAAUUCAUUUUAAUUGAUUUUGAUGCUAUGAUCUUUAAAGGAGUAAAAGAAAGUCUUUAAGAGAGCUCUAAAAGAACUUUCAAAGCCUUGAAUUUUAUGUAUCCUACACUGCAUAAAUUCAUGUUUUGGUAUCUAUGCCCCAAUACUUUUAUAUCAUGAAAGAACUUUGAAGUCAUUAAGAAUUAAGGAUUCAACAUAAUCUUAUGUUUUUCGAGUAUAUAAGGUUUAAUCUUUAUUUGUGAUCGGUUCUUUCAAUUUUGAAAAUAAACCACGCAAUAGCACGUAUCCUGUAGGACAGUGAUUACGGGUGUCGGUCCACAGGGAUUGGAGACAAGUUAUUUUUCCUAAUUAAAUAAUUACUUCAAA
rnacentral:lncRNA from 1 species